rnacentral:rRNA from 1 species
UACGGGGGGAGCAAGCGUUGUUCGGAUUUACUGGGCGUAAAGGGCGGGUAGGCGGCCACCGCAAGUCGGUUGUGAAAUCUCUGGGCUUAACCCAGAACGGCCAAGUGAAACUGACAUGCUAGAGUGCAGAAGGGGCAAUCGGAAUUCUUGGUGUAGCGGUGAAAUGCGUAGAUAUCAAGAGGAACACCUGAGGUGAAGACGGGUUGCUGGGCUGACACUGACGCUGAGGCGCGAAAGCCAGGGGAGCAAACGGG